rnacentral:rRNA from 1 species
GAGUUUGAUCCUGGCUCAGAGCGAACGUUAGCGGCGGGCCUAACACGUGCAAGUCGAACGCGAAAGGGAUUCGUCCCCAGUAGCGUGGCGUCCGGGUGAGUAACACGUAGGAAAUCUUCCCUCGAGCGGGGGAUAACGUCCCGAAAGGGACGCUAAUACCGCAUAAGCCCACGUCCGCCUCGGCGGAUGAGGGAAAAGCUGGCCACUGUAUACAAGCUAGCACUUGAGGAUGAUCCUGCGGCGCAUCAGCUAGUUGGUGAGGUAAUGGCUCACCAAGGCUUAGACGCGUAGCUGGUCUGAGAGGAUGAUCAGCCACACUGGCACUGAAACACGGGCCAGACUCCUACGGGAGGCAGCAGUGGGGAAUAUUGGACAAUGGGCGCAAGCCUGAUCCAGCCACGCCGCGUGAGUGAUGAAGGCCUUCGGGUUGUAAAGCUCUGUGGGGAGGGACGAAAACGGCGCUCAAGAAACGGGGCGUCCUUGACGGUACCUCCUUAGCAAGCACCGGCUAACUCUGUGCCAGCAGCCGCGGUAAUACAGAGGGUGCGAACGUUGCUCGGAAUUACUGGGCGUAAAGCGCGUGUAGGCGGAUCGGCAAGUCAGCGUGAAAUCCCCAGGCUCAACCUGGGAACUGCGCUUGAAACUGCCGGUCUUGAGUGUCGGAGAGGGUGGCGGAAUUCCUGGUGUAGAGGUGAAAUUCGUAGAUAUCAGAGAACACCGGUGGCGAAGCGGCCACCUGGACGACACUGACGCUGAGACGCGAAAGCGUGGGGAGCAAACAGAUUAGAUACCCUG